rnacentral:lncRNA from 1 species
AAGAUCAAAGCAGAGGAAGCCACACAAUGCAGAGAAUCAACAGUGGAGCUAUGCCUAGUGAGAAGCAAAGAGACACUGGAUGGCCUGAGAGGGAAAGAGACUGAGAAAAGCUGUCAGCUUUUAGUUCCUGGUUCCAGUCCUUUGUGACGGCCAGCUUGAUUAGAGAGAAAAGGUCAUUUGGAAAAUAUAGCCAUUUUUGGAAGACUGAGCAGCCAAGGUUCUUAAGUAUAGGAGAUUGGGACAAAACAAAAAAAAGGAUGGAGCGUGUAAAAAGCAAAACCUUCCUGACAGAAUGUGGAUGGGCCAAAAACAGCAGUAAAGAGAUUAACCUCAAAUAGGAAAAUAUAUUCCUUGUGUGGAUAUUGGAGGAGAAACAAUGAAGAAUGGUCGCAGAUAUAGACAAUUACAGCAAGCUCUAGGAAAACUUUCUCUGAAAAAGGUUUAUAACAGUUCACUACUUCAUCUACAUCCUCAAGCCAACACCUAUGAAAAAGAUAAUGGUGUCCGAUGACAGGCCUCUGCUAACAGUGUAAGGCUAUCUGUGAACU